rnacentral:rRNA from 1 species
AUUGAACGCUGGCGGCAGGCCUAACACAUGCAAGUCGAACGGCAACAGGAAGCAGCUUGCUGCUUCGCUGACGAGUGGCGGACGGGUGAGUAAUGUCUGGGAAGCUGCCUGAUGGAGGGGGAUAACUACUGGAAACGGUAGCUAAUACCGCAUAAUGUCGCAAGACCAAAGAGGGGGACCUUCGGGCCUCUUGCCAUCGGAUGUGCCCAGAUGGGAUUAGCUUGUUGGUGGGGUAACGGCUCACCAAGGCGACGAUCCCUAGCUGGUCUGAGAGGAUGACCAGCCACACUGGGACUGAGACACGGUCCAGACUCCUACGGGAGGCAGCAGUGGGGAAUAUUGCACAAUGGGCGCAAGCCUGAUGCAGCCAUGCCGCGUGUAUGAAGAAGGCCUUCGGGUUGUAAAGUACUUUCAGCGGGGAGGAAGGGAGUAAAGUUAAUACCUUUGCUCAUUGACGUUACCCGCAGAAGAAGCACCGGCUAACUCCGUG